rfam:Hordeum vulgare subsp. vulgare, WGS project CAJW01000000 data, contig: morex_contig_157290
GAGAUACUCCCUCCGUCCGGAAAUACUUGUCUUAGAAAUAGAGAUACAUCUAUUUCUAAGACAAGUAUUUCCGGACGGAGGGAGUACUAA